rnacentral:rRNA from 1 species
GAUGAACGCUAGCUACAGGCUUAACACAUGCAAGUCGCGGGGCAGCAUGUCGGUUGCUUGCAACCGAUGAUGGCGACCGGCGCACGGGUGAGUAACGCGUAUCCAACCUGCCCUUCACCACGGAAUAAUCCAGUGAAAAUUGGUCUAAUACCGUAUGAGGUCAUACGAUGGCAUCAGAAUAUGACGAAAGGUUUAGCGGUGAAGGAUGGGGAUGCGUCUGAUUAGCUUGUUGGUGAGGUAACGGCUCACCAAGGCGACGAUCAGUAGGGGUUCUGAGAGGAAGGUCCCCCACAUUGGAACUGAGACACGGUCCAAACUCCUACGGGAGGCAGCAGUGAGGAAUAUUGGUCAAUGGGCGAGAGCCUGAACCAGCCAAGUAGCGUGCAGGACGACGGCCCUAUGGGUUGUAAACUGCUUUUAUAUGGGGAUAAAGUGAGCUACGUGUAGUUUAUUGCAGGUACCAUAUGAAUAAGGACCGGCUAAUUCCGUG